CCUACGGGAGGCAGCAGUGAGGAAUAUUGGUCAAUGGGCGGGAGUCUGAACCAGCCAAGUCGCGUGAGGGACGACGGUCCUAUGGAUUGUAAACCUCUUUUGUCGGGGAACAAAAGCGUCCACGGGUGGGAGGAUGAGUGUACCCGAAGAAAAAGCAUCGGCUAACUCCGUGCCAGCAGCCGCGGUAAUACGGAGGAUGCGAGCGUUAUCCGGAUUUAUUGGGUUUAAAGGGUGCGUAGGCGGACAGUCAAGUCAGCGGUAAAAAUGCGGUGCUCAACGCCGUACAGCCGUUGAAACUGGCAGUCUUGAGUGGGCGAGAAGUGUGCGGAAUUCGUGGUGUAGCGGUGAAAUGCAUAGAUAUCACGCAGAACUCCGAUUGCGAAGGCAGCAUACCGGCGCCCUACUGACGCUGAGGCACGAAAGCGUGGGUAUCGAACAGGAUUAGAUACCCUUGUAGUC
rnacentral:rRNA from 1 species